UCACUGAUUGCAGCCAAGGCUGAGCGCGGAGUUUCAUUCUGUCUUGUUGUCCGCCAGUGUGAAGUGUGAUCGAUGGAACAUGGUUGAGUUAAUAGAACUUGGUGAGCUGAAGAAUUAGCAAUUUUCCAUGCUGUCAACAUUUCUGACGAGAUAGAGACGAUGUACCGGCGUUUUAAUGGGAGCCGUGCAGAGAAACAGAAAUGGGUGCCAUGCUGCCAGCCAGCCGGUCACAGGAAACAACUGCAACACACUGAUAUUGCUGAAUGGUUCGGCGCAGUUUGCAGCCGCGCGGGUGCCACCCCAACACGCCAUCGCUGUUACAGCGGACAGGAUGUGUGCCCCAGCAGUCCCUUACACGCUUAAUUCCAAAUGAUGUGCUGUAACAAUUGCUUCGCUCUGUACGACAUUGUCGACAAUCAGCCGAACUUCACUAACUACGCUGUUAAUGAACAAACAUGAAGUGAAACAAUGAAAAAUCCAGGAUGGACUGUAACAAUACGAGAGAAGGGAAGUUGCUACUUGCCAUUUAGCGUAGAUGCUGAGUCGCAAUAGGCACAAUAAGAUUGACACAACCAUAGCUUUCUGCCAUUAAGGCCUUUGCAGUUUAGAUGGAGGGUAGGAGAGAAGGUGUGGAGGGAGGGGGGGGGGGGGGUAAGUAGCAGAAAGGAGAGAAAUAAAAAUAAAAGAAAUUAAGACUGGGUGUGGCGGUGAAAUGAGGGCUGUGUAGUGCUGGAAUGGAAACAGGGAAGGAGCUGGAUCGGUGAUGUCAUGAACAUCAAUAUCUGAGUGCAGUGUCUUUAUAAGGUCAAUCUAUCUUAUUAAACCUGUGAAACAAAUAUUUGUCAAAUUAGAGGGUGCAGAGAGCACUAAAGGGAAGAUCCAAAGGACUGUCGAUAUGUCCCAUCAAUUCGAAACUAUUCUGUCAAUAAUCCAUGAAAGCAUUCUAUCAAAGUGCAACCUGAUAAAUUCUAGACAUUUUAUCAUGGUUUCCCAGAACAAACCCCGUAAGUGUCAUGCCAGUAAGGAAAAAGGACUGAGCAAAGCCUCCAAAGUGAGUAAAUUAAUUUGAGGGCACAAUUUUUUAUAUUGUGUUCCACAGAAACAGCCUAUCAAAUGUGAAAUUCAAUUUCCAGUAACAUCAUAAAUGCAUUUACUCAUUGUCGGCUGACAUCGGCAAAAAGAUUUAUCGCCAAUUUCAUUAAACAUGCCCAUUCCAUACCUUUGAAAUUCUGGUACCUCUGGAUUCAAUGUCGACUCCAGCACCAUCACAGUAGCCAAACUAAAAGAAAAACACAAAUGUGCAUGCACACGUGCGCCUGCAUACUCU